GAAGACAAUCGAUGACCUGGAAG
rnacentral:piRNA from 1 species